GACGAACGCUGGCGGCGUGCUUAACACAUGCAAGUCGAGGGGCAUCAGGUGUAGCAAUACAUGCUGGCGACCGGCGCACGGGUGCGUAACACGUAUGAAACCUACCCAUAACAUGGGGAUAGCCCGAAGAAAUUCGGAUUAAUACCCAAUAGUACUAUUUGAGGGCAUCUGAAGAUAGUUAAAGAUUUAUCGGUUAUGGAAGGUCAUGCGUCUAAUUAGCAGUUGGUGAGGUAAUGGCUCACCAAGGCGACGAUCAGUAGGGGGACCUGGAGAGGGUGACUCCCCCACACUGGUACUGAGAUACGGACCAGACUCCGUACGGGAGGCAGC
rnacentral:rRNA from 1 species